UUUAGUAGCGGCGAGUGAGCGGCAAAAGCUCAAAUUUGAAAUCUGGCACUUUCAGUGUCCGAGUUGUAAUUUGAAGAAGGUAUCUUUGGGUCUGGCUCUUGUCUAUGUUUCUUGGAACAGAACGUCACAGAGGGUGAGAAUCCCGUGCGAUGAGAUGACCCAGACCUAUGUAAAGUUCCUUCGAAGAGUCGAGUUGUUUGGGAAUGCAGCUCUAAGUGGGUGGUAAAUUCCAUCUAAAGCUAAAUAUUGGCGAGAGACCGAUAGCGAACAAGUACAGUGAUGGAAAGAUGAAAAGAACUUUGAAAAGAGAGUGAAAAAGUACGUGAAAUUGUUGAAAGGGAAGGGCUUGAGAUCAGACUUGGUAUUUUGUAUGUUACUCUUU
rnacentral:rRNA from 1 species